UAUGUAACAGGGUUGAUGUUCCAGGAGGGAUAAGCCAAAUGACAAAUGAUUUAGGUAAACUAGAAAAAUGGUCAGAAUUGUGGCAACUGACAUUUAAUGUGGAUAAGUGCAAGAUAAUGCAUCUUGGAUGUAAAAACCCAAGGGCAGAGUACAGAAUAUUUGAUAGAGUUCUAACCUCAACAUAUGAAGAAAGGGAUUUAGGGGUGAUUAUUUCUGAUGACUUAAAGGUAGUCAGACAUUAUGGGCAAAUGCAAAUAUUACAAGUUUUAGAAUGAAAUGUUGUAUUUCUUAAACUGUGUACUUUGUCUUUAAGAGAGAUUGCAAACUGACAAGGUGUUAGAAAUGGAACAUAUUGUUUUUCAUAACUGUUUCUUUAAGCAAUAACCUCAGUGCAUAAUAUGUUUGCGCCAUUUUGUCCCAGACGAAUUACAAUAACAAUAAUGCAUAAACAAGCUUCAAGGCUAUACUACGACACUUGCAGUACACAAUAUACUGUGGUAACCCCAAGUUAAUGGAACUUCCCCAAAUCCGUGAAUCUCCCACGACUGUACACUUACGACUUAGUAUAAACAACAGAUAACCUAUUCAGACUUUAAGAUGCCAUCUUGAAUUAAGUCAGGAAAAUUUCCAUGACGUUUGCACCCUUUAGUUAUGGCCUUGUAUGUUUGCCAAAUUAAGGGAGGUCCUAAAUUGAAUAAAGUAAAAGAAGUGUUACUUUUUCAUAUUUGAACUACAGUAACCUAAAAUGGAGACACCUAAGGUAUAAAUAGGUGUACUUUUAAAUGUUAA